GAUGAACGCUGGCGGCGUGCCUAAUACAUGCAAGUCGAGCGAACAGACGAGGAGCUUGCUCCUCUGACGUUAGCGGCGGACGGGUGAGUAACACGUGGAUAACCUACCUAUAAGACUGGGAUAACUUCGGGAAACCGGAGCUAAUACCGGAUAAUAUAUUGAACCGCAUGGUUCAAUAGUGAAAGACGGUUUUGCUGUCACUUAUAGAUGGAUCCGCGCCGCAUUAGCUAGUUGGUAAGGUAACGGCUUACCAAGGCAACGAUGCGUAGCCGACCUGAGAGGGUGAUCGGCCACAUGGGAACUGAGACACGGUCCAGACUCCUACGGGAGGCAGCAGUAGGGAAUCUUCCGCAAUGGGCGAAAGCCUGACGGAGCAACGCCGCGUGAGUGAUGAAGGUCUUCGGAUCGUAAAACUCUGUUAUUCGGGAAGAACAAAUGUGUAAGUAACUAUGCACGUCUUGACGGUACCUAAUCAGAAAGCCACGGCUAACUACGUG
rnacentral:rRNA from 1 species